AAAAAAAAAUUGAAAC
rnacentral:sRNA from 1 species